CAAUUCUCCUGCUUCAGCCUCCCGAGUAGCUGAGACUACAGCUCACACAUCCUCCCCAUUCUCUGAGUUCCCACAAAGACUGUUAUUGCUGGGGCUCAUAAAAUUAUACUCCAAAGUAUGAUGCUUUGGCAUCCAGAGUGCUUUGAACUAUAGGAGAUUGAAGGCCCCAGAAGCCAAGUUUCCCUCUGACCUCCUGCCUCCCUGUCUCCCACCCCCUACUUUUCCCCUGAAGUGAGUCCUGGAAACCAGAAUUCUUCUUGCCCAAAGCAAGCCGUGACACCCUGGAAAUAUCACUCUAACCUUCCUUGCCUUUCCGUGUGGCAGCUGGCCAUGAAGAAAUUCUCUGACCUACCUUGUUUGAUAGCAGAUCACAAGACCCUGGUUCCAGAGCGGUCCUGCUUUACACCGAAGGAAAGGAAUGUCAUACAGAAAGGCCAAGAAGAAUCUGAAGAGAUGUCCAAUCACCUUUUCACGUGGCUGCCCAUUCUUCAUUGAACCUAAGCAUUAAAAUAGACAGUUUCCCCUGGGUCUUUGGGUCUUCAUUUCUGAAGACUCCAUGUCAUGUAAAACUUUGAUUAAAUAAAUGUAUCAUGCAUUA
rnacentral:lncRNA from 1 species